AAGUCGUAACAAGGUUUCCGUAGGUGAACCUGCGGAAGGAUCAUUAACACGUAUCCAAACGUUAAACCCCCCUGUGAACCUUCAGUCGUACUCGUACGUCCGUUAGAAAAAGCAGCAAUCCCUGGUAAAUCAUCGCCGAACAGUUUUCGAUUCAGGGACGUCUGCAAGGAGCGUGCAUGUUGUGCGUGUAAGUGGCCUGGCAUCCCCAAGCAGUUAGUGUCUGAAAGUGUCACUAACGUUAGUGUCUGAAAGUGUCACUGACAUGUGUAAGGAUGACGCAGUCACGAUCGUUCACACGGCCGACGACCGGGUCACCGGGCGCAAGCCCCCCUACGACACCCCUGCUCUAUCUAUGGUGAUCCUGCGGUCGAACGCCGAAACCGAACAACUGUUAACAAUGGAUAUCUUGGUUCUC
rnacentral:misc_RNA from 1 species